UUAAUUAAGAUCAUAACCCCUCUACGCACGCAGCUCUUCUUCCCAUCACCACAUACCACAACGCUCGUGCCGCCACUGCAGGUCCUACCACCGGCGAGAGAUGACACCAUCGACGCUAGUCACCAUCGAUGAUGUCGCCGACGAGAACUAAGCUACCUGAGUCGCUUCUUUUCCUUGUUUCUUUUUCCCGCGUGCGAGAUAGGGGCUGCUUCUUCUUCAUGAAGACACCACUGACGCAGUGCCUGUGACCACCACCGUGAGCGCUGCUGCUGCCGUGACCAGAGUGUGUCGCCGAUGAUGCCAAGCUUCCUGAAUCGCCUUUUUUUCUCUUAUUUCUUCUUCCCGUGAGAGAGAAAGGCGUCCUAGCCUCUUUGACUCUCCACCACCGUGUCAGCAACACCACGACUAGGUCCGCAAACGUCACUCGACCACACUCCACCAUUCAGAGCUCCGACUCGCCGGCGGUUGGAAUGGUGCUGUGAUAAUGGGAAUGAUUGGUGUUUAUGUUGAGUGCGAUGGGAUAAUGAAGAUGAUAAUGCGUGUUGAAGAGGGGUGAAUAAAGAUUGACGGUGAACCUUGUGGAAGAUGGGGGUGACGGUGUAUUGGUUUUGGCAGGGCUGGAGUUGAAUUUGGUUUUGUGUGUAUUGGUUGAUGGAUGAUGGUGAAGGGUUCUAUUCCAAGUGUAGGCUGCAAGAGAAGAAAUAUGAGGAUGGUUGGUUUUGAUGAAGGUGAAUGAAUGAGGGAAUUGAAAGGAUGAUGGUGAUAUAAUUUUGUCAAAGGCUGGAGGUACGAUGAGGGCGUAAGUCGAGGGUGAUAACGGAGGAUUCAAGCAACAUUAGUAUAGUAAUGUACACAACAGAUUCAAUGAGCCAAAUAUAUGACACGCAAAGCUCAAUAUACAUGACUACAUUUUAUUCAUUCUCAAGCACAACACAACAACAUCAGUUUCACCUUAAACGUUCAAAUAUUCAAGUAUACUUACCUCUUGUAGUCUCUACCAGUGCAGUUUCUAUUGGUGGGUUCUCGUCUCAAACCACUCUUUCCUCCUUGGCUCGCUUGCUUUUUUCUUUCCAAGUGCUAUCCUCCCCUUUGUUGCUCUAUCCUUUUAGUUGGUUCGAGGGUCCUGGGAGCUAAGAAAAUUGAGAGCUAAGAAGACUGAGUCUCUUUUCCUUUUUUCGUGUUUAAUGUAUGCACCUAUCUGUUUCUCUACAUGAAUUGUAUCCUCUCCCCCGAGUGUUCUCUCCCUUUUUCAUAUUUAUGAGAUCCCUCCUUUUGUUCAUGGUUUGAGAGAUGUACAAAGGUGUGAAGUGGUGGUUGCUUCCUCGCCUUGUUCUGUCUGCAAUAGAGUCCAUUUUCCCUUUUCAA